GUGCAGUAUACAAAUUACAAAUUUAAACAGUUCACCUCAAAUUGUCGUAAAAUGUAUCUACAAAGAAUUAAAACCAUUGCAAAAACCAAGUUAAACUUAAUAUGCCAUUUACAAGUUACAACAAUCAUAUUCAAACCUUCAUAACUCAAAUCAUGUACAAUAUUGACAAUCAUGUAUCGAGAAAGAAUUAACACUAUUGAAAAAACCAAGUUGAAAUUUUGCACUACUAUUACUACUAUCUAGUAUCUUCUUUCCACAACAAUCACACUCAAACCUUCAUAACACAAAUGUAAGUUCUAACUACAAAGUUCUAAUGAUACUUUAAUGUGACAUUACAACUUUAAAUUAUUUAUUAGUAUAAUUACUAAUUACAAGAUUUAAUUUUCAUAUUUACUU